UACGGAGGAGGCAAGCGUUAUCCGGAAUUAUUGGGCGUAAAGCGUCCGCAGGUGGCACUUCAAGUCUGCUGUCAAAGACCGGGGCUUAACUUCGGAAAGGCAGUGGAAACUGAACAGCUAGAGUAUGGUAGGGGCAGAGGGAAUUCCUGGUGUAGCGGUGAAAUGCGUAGAGAUCGAGAGGAACACCUGCGGCGAAGGCGGGUUGCUGGGCUGACACUGACGCUGAUGCGCGAAAGCUAGGGGAGCGAACGGG
rnacentral:rRNA from 1 species